rnacentral:lncRNA from 1 species
GACAAUGAGACAAUUCUCCAUCCAAGUCAUAAUCAGUUUGGGGGCAACCCCUUAAUGUUAUAAAUAUCCCUUUUACAUGUUUUCUGAUGGAUCAAUAUAAGUUAUAAUAUAUUUGUUUGUACAAAAGGGAUCAUAUUUUCUCAAAGAACUAUAUAUCUAUCUGGUCAAAACAUGUCCAAGAAUUUUGUAAUAUUCCUGGACUUGAACCAUG